rnacentral:rRNA from 1 species
CCAUGCAAGUCGAACGAUGAAGCCCAGCUUGCUGGGUGGAUUAGUGGCGAACGGGUGAGUAACACGUGAGUAACCUGCCCUUGACUCUGGGAUAAGCGCUGGAAACGGCGUCUAAUACCGGAUAUGACAACCGACGGCAUCGUCUGGUUGUGGAAAGAAUUUUGGUCAAGGAUGGACUCGCGGCCUAUCAGCUUGUUGGUGAGGUAAUGGCUCACCAAGGCGACGACGGGUAGCCGGCCUGAGAGGGUGACCGGCCACACUGGGACUGAGACACGGCCCAGACUCCUACGGGAGGCAGCAGUGGGGAAUAUUGCACAAUGGGCGAAAGCCUGAUGCAGCAACGCCGCGUGAGGGACGACGGCCUUCGGGUUGUAAACCUCUUUUAGCAGGGAAGAAGCGAAAGUGACGGUACCUGCAGAAAAAGCACCGGCUAACUACGUGCCAGCAGCCGCGGUAAUACGUAGGGUGCAAGCGUUGUCCGGAAUUAUUGGGCGUAAAGAGCUCGUAGGCGGUUUGUCGCGUCUGCUGUGAAAUCCCGAGGCUCAACCUCGGGUCUGCAGUGGGUACGGGCAGACUAGAGUGCGGUAGGGGAGAUUGGAAUUCCUGGUGUAGCGGUGGAAUGCGCAGAUAUCAGGAGGAACACCGAUGGCGAAGGCAGAUCUCUGGGCCGUAACUGACGCUGAGGAGCGAAAGGGUGGGGAGCAAACAGGCUUAGAUACCCUGGUAGUCCAC